rnacentral:rRNA from 1 species
AGAGUUUGAUCCUGGCUCAGGACGAACGCUGGCGGCGCGCUUAACACAUGCAAGUCGAGCGAGAUCCGGUCCUUCGGGACCGGGGAAAGCGGCGAACGGGUGAGUAACACGUGGGUAAUCAACCCCUGGCACCGGGAUAGCCCGAGGAAACUCGGAUUAAUACCGGAUGGCCCAGCGCCUCUUCGGGGGCGUUGGAAAAG